UGGGGAAUAUUGCACAAUGGGCGCAAGCCUGAUGCAGCAACGCCGCGUGAACGAUGAAGGUCUUCGGAUCGUAAAGUUCUGUUGCAGGGGAAGAUAAUGACGGUACCCUGUGAGGAAGCCCCGGCUAACUACUUGCCAGCAGCCGCGGUAAUACGUAGGGGGCUAGCGUUAUCCGGAUUUACUGGGCGUAAAGGGUGCGUAGGUGGUCUUUCAAGUCGGUGGUUAAAGGCUACGGCUAAACCGUAGUUAGCCUCCGAAACUGGAAGACUUGAGUGCAGGAGAGGAAAGUGGAAUUCCCAGUGUAGCGGUGAAAUGCGUAGAUAUUGGGAGGAACACCAGUAGCGAAGGCGGCUUUCUGGACUGAAACUGACACAGAGGCACGAAAGCGUGGGUAGCAAACAGG
rnacentral:rRNA from 1 species